AAUAAGUGCAGUUUUGCACUAUUCAUGUUCAACGUUUGACCGUCUGUCUUAUUUGAAGAUUUUUUAUGAUUAGUAUUUUUAUUGCUAUUAGAUGAUAAAACAUGAAUAGUACUUUAUGUGCGACUAAAUGUUUUUAAUUUUUCACAAAUUUUUCAAAUAAGACGGACGGUCAAAUGUUGAACGUGAAUAGUGCAAAACUGCACUUAUU
rfam:Oryza sativa Japonica Group DNA, chromosome 8, cultivar: Nipponbare, complete sequence.